rnacentral:rRNA from 1 species
GACGUAGGGCGCGAGCGUUGUCCGGAUUUAUUGGGCGUAAAGAGCUCGUAGGCGGCUUGUCGCGUCGACCGUGAAAACUCGCAGCUCAACUGCGAGCCUGCGGUCGAUACGGGCAGGCUAGAGUUCGGUAGGGGAGACUGGAAUUCCUGGUGUAGCGGUGAAAUGCGCAGAUAUCAGGAGGAACACCAGUGGCGAAGGCGGCUAUCUGGACGGUUUCUGACGCUAAGACGCGAAAGCGUGGGGAGCAAACAGG